rnacentral:sRNA from 1 species
AGGAUGAAGAUGAGGACGAGGAGUUCCAGCCAUCACAGCUGUUUGACUUCGAUGAUUUACUGAAAUUUGAUGACCUAGAUGGAACACAUGCUCUGAUGGUGGGUCUAUGUCUCAAUCUCCGGAAUUUGCCGUGGUUUGAUGAGGUUGAUGCCAACUCCUUCUUCCCACGCUGCUACCGCCUGGGGGCUGAGGAUGACAAAAAAGCCUUCAUAGGUAAGGAGACCCCCAGCCCUAUGCCUGAACCUCAGGCUGACAGAGCAGGGCUGAAGCUCUGGCUCAUAUUGGAGAGAAACAGGCCUCUCUUCAUGCCCUCAUCUGCCUGCCCCAGCAGAUUUCCUUUUCCACCCUCAAUCCUUAUCCUUCCCUAAUGUGCCCUCCCUUAAUAAGCCUCUUAGCUUGGUCAACUCUGACCUCCAGAAAAGCUUGGGUAUCUUGGCUUAUAUUCUAGAGCAGGUUCUAAAAGUUGGUCAGUCCCUUGAGUUUGGAAUCCAGAACAGAUUCCAGGCUUAUAUCAAGUUCCAUUUGUUGAAUUGGGUUCCAAAAAGGGCUGCAGGCUUUGGAUUUCUAAGGCAGACUAGGUUCCGAUUCCACAAUAUGUUCUAAAUUGAGGUUAGAAUUUGGAUCCAGAUUCUAUGCUAGAUUUAAAUUACAUUCAGAAUCUGAACUAGGACACAGUCUGGUUCUCAGGAUAGAAUAAGUAUCAAAAGUAGGUGAUGAACAGAAGAAACAAAUCAGACAAUGGGUCCAAGCCAGAUUCUGAAGGCAGAAUAUGAUCCAAGUCAGGUCAGAUUUGGGGUCUGGUUACACAACUGAAACAGGAGCAAGUUCUUUUUUUUUUUUGAGAUGGAGUCUCGCUCUGUCACCCAGGCUGGGGUGCAGUGGCGCGAUCUUGGCUCAUUGCAAGCUCCGCCUCCCGGGUUCCCGCCAUUCUCCUGCCUCAGCCUCCGGAGUAGCUGGGACUACAGGCGCCCGCCAUCACGCCCGGCUAAUUUUUUGUAUUUUUAGUAGAGACGGGGUUUCACUGUGUUAGCCAGGAUGGUCUCGAUCUCCUGACCUCAUGAUCCAUCCACCUCAGCCUCCCAAAGUGCUGGGAUUACAGGCGUCAGCCACCGCGACCAGCCUGAAACAGGAGCAAGUUCUAAACUCAGGCUCUAGAGUCAGAAAAGGUAGAGUCAGGUUCUGGAUCCAAAAUGGGGCAAGUCAUGAUCAGGUUCUGGAACCAGAACAGGCCUCAAGCCUAGGGGCUGAGCAGGGUAUCCCCUGGCCUGGGAGCAGAGGACUUCUGGCUGACUGCUGCCCGCAACGUUCUCAAGCUGGUGGUGAAGUCUGAGUGGAAGUCAUACCCUAUUCAGGCAGUAGAGGAAGAGGCCUCAGGAGACAAGCAGCCCAAGAAACAGGAGAAAAACCCAGUGUUGGUGUCCCCAGAGUUUGUGGAUGAAGCUCUGUGUGCGUGCGAGGAGUACCUUAGCAACUUGGCCCACAUGGACAUCGACAAGGACCUGGAGGCCCCACUGUACCUCACCCCCAAGGGCUGGUCCCUCUUCCUCCAGCGCUACUACCAAGUGGUCCACGAAGGGGCAGAACUCAGGCACCUCGACACUCAGGUCCAGCGCUGUGAGGACAUCCUGCAGCAGCUGCGGGCCGUGGUACCCCAGAUAGACAUGGAAGGGGAUCGCAACAUCUGGAUCGUGAAGCCAGGAGCCAAGUCCCGCGGACGAGGCAUCAUGUGCAUGGACCACCUGGAGGAGAUGCUGAAGCUGGUGAACGGCAACCCCGUGGUGAUGAAGGACGGCAAGUGGGUGGUGCAGAAGUAUAUUGAGCGGCCCCUCCUCAUCUUUGGCACCAAGUUUGACCUCAGACAGUGGUUCCUGGUAACUGACUGGAACCCACUUACCGUGUGGUUCUACCGCGACAGCUAUAUCCGCUUUUCCACGCAGCCCUUCUCCCUGAAGAACCUGGACAACUCAGUGCACCUGUGCAACAACUCCAUCCAGAAGCACCUGGAGAACUCAUGCCAUCGGCAUCCACUGCUUCCGCCAGACAACAUGUGGUCUAGCCGGAGGUUCCAGGCCCACCUGCAGGAGAUGGGUGCCCCAAAUGCUUGGUCCACCAUCAUCGUGCCUGGCAUGAAGGAUGCUGUGAUCCACGCACUUCAGACCUCCCAGGACACCGUGCAGUGUCGGAAGGCCAGCUUUGAGCUCUAUGGCGCUGACUUCGUGUUCGGGGAGGACUUCCAGCCCUGGCUGAUUGAGAUCAACGCCAGCCCCACGAUGGCACCCUCCACAGCAGUCACUGCCCGGCUCUGUGCUGGCGUGCAAGCUGACACCCUGCGCGUGGUCAUUGACCGGAGGCUGGACCGCAACUGUGACACAGGAGCCUUUGAGCUCAUCUAUAAGCAGCCUGCUGUGGAGGUGCCUCAAUAUGUGGGCAUCCGGCUCCUGGUAGAGGGCUUCACCAUCAAGAAGCCCAUGGCGAUGUGUCAUCGGCGGAUGGGGGUCCGCCCAGCAGUCCCUCUGCUGACCCAGCGAGGCUCUGGGGAAGCCCCUCACCACUUCCCCAGCCUCCACACCAAGGCCCAGCUGCCUUCUCCCCAUGUACUCCGACACCAGGGCCAGGUCCUCAGACGACAGCACAGCAAGCUGGUGGGCACUAAGGCCCUGUCGACCACAGGCAAGGCCUUGAGGACUCUACCCACGGCUAAGGUCUUCAUUUCCCUCCCACCUAACCUUGAUUUCAAGGUGGCACCCAGCAUCCUGAAGCCAAGAAAGGUGGGCCUCGACCUGUGACUCACACCCAGUGGACAGUGCUGAGCACAGGGUCAGGGCUGGAGGGCACAGGCAGAGGGCAGCUCCCAGGCUGGCUGGCACCCCAAGGGAAGAGCUGGUCUCCCUCAGAAGCCCCUUCCUCCACAGACUUCUGAUCAUCUCCCUCUUCUCCCCUCCUUUCACACCGAGGCUCCUGCUCUCCUGUGCCUCCAAGGCCCCCAGCUGGAAGUGCCUUGUUGCCUCUGCCCUUUGAAGUCGGAACAAUUCCUAGCACCUGUCAGAAGGUCAAGGCCAAAGGCAAAUUCAAGGCCAGACUGUGACAAACCCAGGGCUGAGGCCUGCCCCAUGAAGAGGCUGAGCCCCCUGAAACCCCUGCCCCUUGUUGGUACAUUCCAGAGGCGCAGGGGCCUGGGGGAUAUGAAGCUAGGGAAGCCCUUGCUUCGAUUCCCCACUGCCCUUGUCCUGGAUCCAACACCAAAUAAAAAGAAACAAGUGAAGUAUUUGGGGCUUGACUCCAUUGCUGUUGGAGGGUCAAGAGUGGGUGGGGUGAGGCCGUGUACCCCAGGGUCCACAGCAAGAGCCUGAGGCCAUCAGCAGCUCCUCCGUGCAGCGAGGCCCAGAAUUCCCACCUAAGGACAGACAUGGGGCUUCCUAUUUAGGGACUCCCCCAGCAUCUCCGAUCCAGGGGUGGGGAGCGUGAGCCUUCACUUUACAGAUGAAGAAACUGAGUCUGAAAGAGGAGGCAUGGCUUACCCAAGAUCACGUGGCAGUGAGUCGACGCAGGGACAUAUUGCCAGAACUGCCGAGCACUGGGAGCCCCCCAACCCCAGAGAACAAGCCAAGCUAGCAGAAUGACACCUACCGGGCAUAGGAACGUUAAUGCCAUGAGGCAGGGGAAGGAAUUGGCCUUGCCUAAACCUCAGCCCUUCUGCAGAGGGCAUGGGUCUAUCCCUUCUUCAGCAAGGGGCCAAGGUCACCUAAAAAUGAAACAUCCAAUAAGCCACACCCACAUGAAGAAAAGUGUGGCACUGCUUAGUUGUAGUGGGUUGAAUUGUGGUCCCCUGAAAAGAGAUGUCUACUUGGACCCUGUGAAUGUGACCUUAUGUGGGAAAAGAGUCUUUGUAGCUGGGUAUGGUGGCUCACACCUGUCAUCCCAGCACUUUGAGAGGCCAAGGCAGGAGAUCGCUCGAGCCCACAAGUUUAAGACCAGUCUGGGCAACAUGGUGAAACCGUUUCUACAGAAAAUUAGCUGGGUGUGGUGGCACACACCUGUAGUCCUAGCUACUCAGGAGGCCUAGGUGGGAGGAUUACCUGAGCCUGGGAAGAUCAAAACUGUGGUGAGCUGUGAUCAUGCCACUGCGCUCUGAGCCUGGGAGACAGAGUGAAACCCUAAAUCAAAAAAAAAAAAAAAA